CCCUCAUCUCAAAAAAAAAACCUAAUCCCUUUCAUUUGAGGAAUGGAGAAAAACGGCAGAACAUUGAGACGGAUUCCCCAACCCCCACUGAAAAACCCUAGCGGCUCACAGACCCCUCUCCCUCUAAGACAACCAGCCGCCACCCGUUUCUUUCUACUUCUUCUUUCUACUCUUUCUCAUCGUACUUCAUCCAUUCAUAUACAUACGUUUACUUUGCUUGUCGAAAAAUGAUAUUCGAUCUAUGAAGUUCUAAAAUCAGAACAAAAGUCCAACGAAUUGAUCGUUAAUGGACGUGCCAACAUGUCCUUGAGCAGCUUGCUCGAUUUCUUUCUUCCUGAGGUUUCUCAAAGUCGUUUUGAGCUGUGGAAUCACUGUACUGUCGUUGCUGCUAAAUGAGCUAUUUACUUGCUGAGUUUGGUUGGGCUGUGUUGCUGAGUUUCAACUUUAUCCUAUUUUGUAUUUAUUUGGCUUUCUAAAAUGGUUCUUGCGCAACCAGGUAUUCAUUUGAACUCAUUUUUAUUUUGAAAAACAUGAAUUAAUCCUUCUGUUUCUCUAUGAAGUUUCAAAUCAUUGUUGUUUUUACAUAUUUGAAUCUUUUUCUGAGUAGUCUAUCGAUUAAUAAUAUAAAUUUAUUUAACUUCAGGGUGAUUUGCUUCUGUUUUAUUUGGGGACUUAAGUGUUGAAAAAAGCAGGAUUCUGUUGCUCUGGUUUCUGCUCCAUCAAAUUUCGUUGAUUGGUUAUGUUUUAAUAUAGUCAUGAAUCUGAUUAAUGUUAGAUAGGUAUGGAGUGUAAAUAGGCACAAAAAAAUUAAUAUCGAUAUAGAUAGCCUUCCCAUUUAACACUUGACUUUGUAUUGAAAGACUAAUGAAUUGCCUGAUGAUUCAUUUGGAAAUUAAAGUUGUAAUAACGGAAAGCCGUAGAUAUAUCAGAUUUGCGAAGCAGUUUGGUUGUAAUCAAUAGAGUGGUUGUAUGCGUAACAAGGUUCGAUAGAGUUGAUUGAUUGAUAGAAUGGCUAUUUGUGUAAUGGGCCUAGCUGUUUUAGAACAAGUCAAUGUUGUGAACCCAUAUAAUGGAGAUACUUUAUUUGCAAUUUCCUAAUCACAAUCCCAUGCUUCUAUUUACAUUAGAUAGUCAUGUGAUACUGGAUGAUUUGUAUCUUGUGAAUAUAAUUAGGAUUGGCCCUUUGUAAUUUCGUUUGAGUUAUAGCUUUCACGCUCUGAAUUUUAAGGGAGGCUAGUGAAUAAUCGACCUUCAAGGCACAGAUGAUGAAAACUUUCCUUGAAUCAAUCUUAGUAAAUACAUGCAGCUGGCUCCUAUGCCUUUUUAGCAUAAUGCUUAACAAUUGUCGAACAUUUCUGAUAGAAACAAAGCAUCCACCAAACUAUAUAGAGAACCAGGUUCUCUAUCUAUUCACACAGUAAAUCGGCAGUAAAUAGAGAACACAGAGGAAUUUUACAUGGAAAACUCCCAGAUCACGGGAUUAAAAACCACUGCCUACCGGUGUAGGAUUUCAACUUCACUACUGAGUAAUCUUCAGAUUACAACCUAUUGUAACCUAGGAAUUAACCGCUUAAUCCCUCACUAACUUAUAACUACACUAUUAGAAGCCACUUUGUAAUAACUCUAUUACAAAGACUUAAUCACUCACUAACUUGUAACAACACUAUUACAAGCCACUUUGUAAUAACUUUAUUACAAAGACUUCACAACUCGACUAACUCUAGCCAAGACACAAACACAAGGGUUUAUGAUUUACAAAGGGUUUCCUACAUAAUGCUUCUAAGUAAGCUAAGUAGGAAUUACAAGUCUGAGCUUCAACAAAGAUACAACACAACUAAGGACAUAUAAUAACUCAAUAUGGGGGUAUUGGUCUAUUGCUAUGUUGUUCUUUCUUCUUGAUGCCCUUGAGAAUCACUUGUAAGAUGGACACACAUUUGAGAGAAUGCUUGAUGAGUUCUUGAAUGUGCAAGUGAUUUGUUUUACCUUUGCUUGAUGUUAAUAUCUCAUUUGUGACAUCACUUGGAUGAUGUAAGCAAGGUAGGUAAAAAGCUUUCCACAGAAAGUUGACUGUUGCACUGUUCAUGUACUGUAGUAUGUGCAGGCAACAACUUUCCAACUGGAGAGUUGACUUCAUACAGUCACCUCAGGAACUGGUAGGGACCUGGUCCCUAAGCUGUUCCUUCCACUCUGAGGAGUUAAGCCAUAUCCAAACUGGAUCCCAACCGGGAACUUUGUGAUCUUAAGGUCUUGAGAAUGUUUAAAGCUGUAGAGUUGACUAUACGACGACCAGAUCUGUUGUUUCCUUAUCUGAUUUCGUUGAGAAUUGAACCAGACAUCUAACUAGUUACUCUGAAUGCAAGAGAACUAAUCGUAUCAGGUUCCUUAUCUUGUUCUCUCAUGAAGUUUGUCAAAUUAUCAAAACAAAAGACGCAUAACUUAUCCAUUUCCCCCUUCUUGAUGAUGAAAAACUUAGAAUUGUAAUUAGAAUUUAUAUCCCCCCGUGAGAACCAAAUCUCCACAUUGUCCCCGUAUGAAUUAGCCAUAUUCCCCAUGAGAACCAGCCCAAAGGAACUGAUCACAACUGGUUCUUCAAGAUUAUUUGGCAAAUCUUCAAAACACAAAAUAACAUAACUUAUCAAUUUCCACCUUUUUGAUUAUGACAAACCCAAAAUUAAUGUUCCCCUUGAGAACCAGAUUCCUCACAUGUUUCCCUGCAGAUCAGACCUUGAAUUAACAUGUUAUCAACAACGUUCCCCCUGCGAAGCAGAGCUAUCUUUCAUGCACAACACAACAUAUCAAAUUCGAUUCUAUUCCUCCCUCAUGCUGACACCUAUAUAACUUCCCCCUUUUGGCAUCAUUGAAAAGAAUAACAGAAGAAGCACAACCAAAAAGAAGUUCAGUAACAUUAACUCAGGCUACUUGGGCAACACAACAUAAACAAUAACAAGAACCACAAGUGAAUGUCAUUGCACAAAAUAGAGUAAUUGCCCAUAGUAGAGUAAUUAUAACAAAAACACAGUAGUUUCAACAAUACAGAAUAUGACAAUUUAAACAACUAAAGUACCAAUGUCAUCAAACAUAGGGAACAAAAGAAGAUAGGAAUUCGAGAGAAUUUGGAAGGAGUGAAAGGCAUGGAUCACUAGGCAGGAAGAAAAGUAAGGGGAUAAGGCUUUGAUGAGCUUGUCAAUUCGUUCAUUCACAAUCAUUUGAUCAAUGAUCAUCUGCUCUCUCAGUUCCUCCAUCUGUUUCCUCAAUCUUUCAUUCUCACCCUUCAACUUAGCAUUCUAUUCUGCCAAGGGUCCACGGGGACCUGGUUCUCUACCUUUCUGAGCAGGCUGAACCAUCAAUCAUAUCACCUAGAAUCUCCCCAAGCUUCUCCUUAUCAAGAACAAACUCAGUCUCAUACACACAUAGCAUCAAAGUAACACAUACAACAUAAAAGUUUUUACUUCUUCUUCAUAAACGUUGGGACUUGGAGGAACAAAGAGGUGAUUCUAUUUUUGGAUCUCAACAAUGUCAAGAAGUUCCUCCAGUUUUCAGUAAUAUCAUAUUCAACACUCUGCCUAACAACACUUUUUGAGAAAUCAGAGUCUUCUACCUCUCCAAACCUGAUAACUUAACCUUUUCCUUCUAUAAGGAAACAGGUUCCUCACUCACACUACCCUUUCUUUCCCUAAGCGGCCAUGUCCCUCUUCUUCUUCUCAAUCUGUUCACCCUUAUCAUCUAUUACAUCUUUCUUAGCCAACUUUAUUUUCUUAAUUUUUUUGAAUUCUUUCUCACAAAUGGAGAUUUUCCACUUCAUUCUCUUUUCCACAAUCAGCACAUCAGCAGGUCACACCACUUCAUCAUCAAUUAGCCUACUUUUCUCAAUCCUUUUUACUGGAUCAGAGAUUCGUUUAAGCAUAGAACCCAAGAGAAAAAAACCAUCAUCAGAAUUAGCAUCCUAAGAAGGAUUUGAGGGACCAGGUCCUUCAUUCAGUUCCCCCUUUUUCCGGCACAUUCACCAACUCCUCCAUCCUUCAAGGCUUCUACAAACCCAACAUCAAUUUCAGCCUCACUUUCCAAAAUAUUAGAUCUACCCCAUUCCUUUUCAGUUAAAGUCCCAUCAAAAUCUACCAAAGACUUCUUGGGUUUCGAUUCAGAUGUAGUUAGGAUUUUGGAAGGUGAAAGAGUUGGAUUCACUUCUGGCAUAUUUGGAGAGACGGAUUAUUUUUGAGUUAAGGUUGAUUUUUGAGGAAAAGAAUCGGUUAUGGUUGGGUGUGAGAGAAGGAAAUGGUUUUUCGGGGCAACAGGUCAGUUCAGAAAAGGUUUAACAUUUUGAACUUCAAAAUUUGGAGAGAGAUGGGAAUAAAUUAAUGACAUUAUAUUUCAGUAGUUUAAAAAGGUAUAUAAGUAUUUAAGAGACUACUAACCUGAGUCAUAAGAACAAGGUUCCUUGACGGUUUUUAAAAAUUUAAGCAAAGACUCCUAGAAGGGCAAUGUCACUCUUACUUGUUUUGUCCUGAAACUGCCAUGUAUGUAUACCAGUAAUAGUAUAGAUUUGAGUUAGAUGUCACCAAAAGACACUUUUUAGCGUUGUACCUUUCCUUCUUAACAUAGCCAAUCAUCGAGGGACCAGGUCCUUAGUUAAGCUGGAUAAACUUUCAAAGUGUUCACUGCUCAGCGCCUUAGUGAAGAUGAUUACUACCUAGUCCUCCGUCUUCCCGUACUUUAUAAUAAUUAGAACCUUUUCAAUAUUAUACCUCAAAAAGUGAUGUCGUACAUCAAUGCGCUUUGUCCUCUUGUAUUGUACCGGGUUCAAGCUGUAAAUACACCAAAGUCUUUAAGAUGUUGCUUGAUCUGUAGUAGUUGAACACAACAAGAAGCAACAACCAUGUAUUCAACUUCAUUAGUAGAAAGAGCCACAUAAUUUGUUUUUUUGUACCCCAUGAGAUCAAGCAUGACACUAGAAAAUGUGUCGUUCUAGAUGUGCUUUUUCUAUCUACUAGAUAUUCAACAUAAUCAACAUCAGCAUAUCCAACCAAGUCAAAAGAAUCUUCUGAAAAAUAGAUGAGGACCAGGUCCUGCUUUCCCUUAGGAUACCUCAAAACUCCCUUGGCACCCUUCAAGUGAGAGUGUUUUGGGCCAGGUUCCAAUCGCUGUUCUGUAUGAAGGCCUAGAGACCAGGUGCCACACUUGGUUCCUCUCAACUGAUGGAGUUCUUCUUGCAUAGAAGCUAUCCAGUUAGCAUUUUUCAAUGCUUCUUUGAUGUUCUUAGGCUCGAUUUGAGACAAGAACGUUGAGAGGGAAAACAUGUUCCUUGCCUUAGAACUAGGUUGAAUACCAGAGUCUAAGGAUGUGAUUACAUUUUGAAGGGAUGUGAACUCUUUUGCUUCUAGUUGGAUACUUGAACUUCAGAAUUUGAAGGACCAGAUUCCUCCAUAUGUGAAUCAUCAUUGACAUCAACAGAAUUAUGACUUCCACUCUUUUGUUCUACAUCAGGAGUACCUAAUGCAGCAUCAACAACCCUAUGUUCAGCUUAAUUCGAGGUGAUAGAGGGACCGAGUUCCUCUACACCUUUGGAGAUUCUACUGCAUCUCCUUCAUCGCUCUGCUUGACUCAUCAAAUCAGUCUUUCCAUUUGCACUAUCUGUAGCUUCACCAGGAGAAUUUGUGAAUUCUCCAUCUUCAUCUUCUUUGUUAUGUGUUUCCACCAUUGUUGAGAACACAACAUUUUGCAUCCAAAGGCUCUCGGGUAAGUUAGAUUGGGUUUUCUCCCAUUGAGCAGUUCAUAGAGAGACUUCUCGAGAAAGGACCUGAUCAUGCACUUGUUAAUCAAGUAGCAAGCAGUGUUGGUUGCUUCAGCCCAUGAACCAAGUCCUCCAUAAUCAACUUGUUCAACAUAUAAAAGCUCACAUGCCCCAGUCAUCUUCGACAUAACUCAGCAUCAUCAUCAAUGACACUUAGGCAUGUUAGAUCACCAUCAUUCAGUGAAUCAAGGUCUGCAACAUAGAUAUUCUUGAAUCUCUUAGCUAUCAAUACCAUUUCACCAGUUUUAAGAUUUUGUGAAAGUGCAAGAUUUGGACAAGAACUUCACUUUAUUUUUCCUUAUCACAGAUUUAAGACACAUUCAACAAGCUAUAUUUCAAGCCAUUCACAUAGUACACAUUUUUGAUUGCAUGAGAGAGUGUUUUGUCAAUUUUGCCACCACCAAGAAUAUAGCCUUCUUGUCAUUUCUAAAGGACACACUCCCACCUUGGAAGGCCUAGAGUGAGAGGAAAUUAUUCAUUCUUCUAAUCUAAUGCUUAGAGCAGCCACUAUCCAUGUGCCAUUUUUUUGACUGCUACCUCUCACUUCAGCCUGCACACUAAAUCAAUGAUUAGAAUUAGGAACCCAAGCCAGCUUGGGUCCCUUAUAAUGAUAGAACGGGCUGAUCAAACUUCUUUUUGCCCGCGCAGGCAGCACAUAUUUUCUUUUCAGGGAACCAGGUUCCUCAUCAAUAGGCCUCUUUCCAACAAAAACUUUGUUUUUUUUGUAAACGCUGAAUUUUAGUUUUACAAGAGUCCUUGUAAUGACCCAUUUGACCACAGUGAGUGCACAACCUAUUAUCAGCCUCAGUUACAUACUUGCUAUGGGGAUUACAGGAGGUUUUAGCCUUUUGGAACCCGAUUCCUUUCCUGUUUCCACCAUUACUCUUGUACAUAGACAUUAUUACAUCAGAGGACCAGGUGCAAUUAAGUGACUUAUCAAGAUCAUUUUUAACCCUUUUCAAAUCCUCUUGAAGUUGUCUAUUUUUUUCAAGCUCAACAAUAAGACUUGUUUUAACUUUCUUAAGCUCACUCUUAAGCUCAAGUCAAGCCUCACUAGCCACUUCUUUACCCUUAGUGCUGUCCAUCCAUUUUUUCGUUUGGUUUUUAAACAAGUUAGUUUCUCUAGUUACUUCUUCCACUUGUUCCUUCAAAUCUACAAUGGAAACUACCAUAUUAUCCCUCUCUUGUUCCAUGUCACCAAUUUCUUCUACUAAAGCAUUUUUCUCAUUAAUGAGGCUAUGAUAGGCAUCAAUCAACACAUUUGCUAAGGACAUCAAUUUUUUGUUUGAGUAAGUUUUCAAAUUUUUUUGAACAUCAAGAAAACUUAUCUCAUCUUCCUCCUUAUCCUCAUCAUCAUCAGAUUUGGCCAUAAGUGCAAAGAUUGACUCAUAUUCUGAAGAUCCAUUAUUAGCAACCAUCAUAUAUGUAUCCCCUUGGUCAUCUUCACCUUCAGAUUCACUAGAAGAAUUUCCCCAGUCAGCCAAAGCUUGUUCACCAUGUUGUCACCAACAUCUCUUCUUUUGAACUUCCUAUCAGAGACCUCCUUUCUCUUAGCCACCUUAUCAAUGUUGGUUUUAUAAUGAUCCUACUUAUGAAGAGGACAAUCUUUAAUAAAGUGUCUAGACUUUCCACACUUAUGACAAAAAUCAUUUUCUUUGAAAUUCCUGCUGGAACUUCCUUUCUUUGGAAUCCCACCAUUUUUUUGAAUCAUCUUUUGGAAUCUUCAAGUGAGAUACUCCAUGUCGGAUUCAUCACUACUUGAGUCUUUGUUGGCAUCCUUGAGAACCAGGUUCUUCUCCUUCUUGGGCUCUCUUAUUUCAAGAUCCUUCUUUCUCUUCAUCUCAUAAGUUUUGAGAUUUCCAGUGAGUUCAUCAAUAGUCAGCUUCUGCAAAUCCUUGGCUUCUGUGAUAGCAUUCACUUUACUUUCCCAAGAACCUGGUAAAACACUGAGUAUUUUCCGAACCAACUUGUUCUUGGGAUGAUUUCACCAAAGGAGUGAAGCUCAUUGAUAAUGGAGGUGAAAUGUGUGUGCAUAUCUUGAAUAGACUCAUCCUCCUUCAUCUUGAAAAGCUCAUACUCAGUAGUAAGCAUAUCAAUUUUGGAUUGAUUAACCUGAGUAGUUCCCUCAUGGGUAGUUUGAAGAGCUUCCCAAAUCUCCUUAGCAUACUAACAAGCUGAGAUGCAGUUGUACUCAUCUGGUUCGAUGCCGUAAACAAGAAUCUUCUUUGCCCUGAAAUUCUUCUCAAUAUCCUUUCUAUAAGCAUCGUUGUACUAUUUUCUUGUUUUUGGGAUUGUAACUGUUCCCUCACCAACAGUUUUCAUGGGAACAAAAUGUCCAUCACAGAUUACAUCUCACAACUCUGAGUCCUCAGCCAUAAUAAAGUCACACAUUCUUGUUUUCCACCAACUAUAGUAUUGGUCGUUGAAUCUUGGUGGUCUGUACGUUGAUUGUCCUUCCUCAAAGUUUGGUGGAACAGCCAUGUAGAUCCUUCCUAGGUGUUAACUUUUUAGAAGAACCUGCUCUGAUACAAUUGAUAGAAACUAAUAGCCUGUUUGGUCAAGCUACAAAAAUCAGCUUAUUUUGAGAAGUGCUUUUUUUCAAAAGUACUUUUGGUGAGAAGCAAUUUGUGUUUGGCUAAUUAGUUUGAAAAGCACUUCUGAGCAGCAAUUGGUGUUUGGACAAGCUUUAAAAUACUAUUUCUAAGUGUAUUUUUCUCAAGAGUGCUUCUCAAANAAGUGCUUUUGGAAAGAAGCUACUUUUUUCUGCUUAUCCAAAACUGCUUCUGAUUCUCCUCAAAAGCACUUUUUUCAUUCCAGAAGCUUGGCCAAACACCUCAAUUUUUGGCCAAAAAGCGCUUUUGGCCAAAAAUAAGCUUGGCCAAACAGGCUAUAAGCAUCCACCAAACUGUAUAGAGAACAAGGUUCUAUAUAUGUUCCCAUAGUAAAUCGGCAGCAAAUAGAGAACAAAAAGGAAUUUUACGUGGAAAAUUCUCAGCUCACGGGAUUAAAAACCACGACCUACCCUUGUAAGAUUUCAACUUCACUACUGAGCAAUCUUCGGAUUACAACCUAUUGUAACCUAGGAAUUAACCUCUUAAUCCCUUACUAACUUGUAACUAUACUAUUACAAGCCACUUUGUAAUAACUCUAUUACAAAGACUUAAUAACUCACUGACUUGUAACAACACUAUUAUAAACAACUUUGUAAUAACUCUAUUACAAAGGCUUCACAACUCAACUAACUCUAGCCAAGACACAAACACAAGGGUUUAUGAUUUACAAAGGAUUUCUCACACAAUGCUUCUAAGUAAGCUAAGUAGGAAUUACAAGUAAGAACUUCAACAAAGAUACAACACAACUAAAAACAUAUAAUAACUCAAUAUGGGGGACUAGUCCGUUGCUAUGUUGUUCUUUGUUCUUGAUGCCCUUGAGAAUCACUUGCAAGAUGGACACACACUUGAGAGAAUGCUUGAUGAGUUCUUGAAUGUUCAAAUAAUUUGUUUUACCUUUGCUUGAUGUUAAUAUCUCAUUUGUGACAUUACUUGGAUGAUGCACUGUUCCUGUACUAUAGCGUGUGCAGGCAGCAACGUUUCAGCUGGAGAGUUGACUUCGUAAAGUCACCUCGGGAACUGGUCGGACCUGGUCCCUCAGUUGUUCCUUCUACUCUGAGGAGUUGAGCCAUAUCCCAAACAAGAUCCCAACUUGGAACCUUGUGAUCUUAAGGUCUUGAGAAUGUUUAAAGCUGUAGAGUUGACUAUACGACAGCCAGGAGAACUGAUCCAUAUAUGUUCCCUCUGUUGUUCUCUUAUCUGAUUUCAUUGAGAAUUGAAUCAGACAUUUGACUAGUUACUCUGAACGCAAGAGAACUAAUUGUAUAAGGUUCCUUAUCUUGUUCUCUCUUGAAGUUUGUCAAAUCAUCAAAACAAAAUGCACAUAACUAGUCAAUUUCCUCCUUUUUGAUGAUGACAAACUUAGAAUUGAUAUUCCCCUUGAGAACCAGAUCUCCACAUUGUUCCCCCUAUGAAUCAGCCAUAUUCCCUAUGAGAACCAGACCAAAGGAACCGAUCACAACUGGUUCUUCAAGAUUGUUUGGCAAAUCAUCAAAACACAAAAUAACAUAGUUUAUCAAUUUCCAAACAAUUUAGAUUCAGUUAAUACUUCCAUUUAAUAAUCGCUAGUUGCUUUAGGUCCUUUUAUAAUAAAUCAUUAUGACUAUGGGUACGAUUCCUGUGGCAUAGUCAUGAUACCUAAUCCCCAAUUCGAGUGUGCGUUUCAACUGACUCGACCAUAACUUCAAAUAAUUAUAAAAAUAAGCAUGUUGUAAAUCGCAGGUGCGUUUCACGUGACGCGAUUCACAAUAUGUCCAAAACCAACGAAUGCGCGCCAUCGCGACUUGUUCAAAUAAAUUUCAUAAAUACUAAAAGAGGUUAAGUAAAUAAUUAAAAGCGGUUAGAAAGUUAAAAAUGCAUAAAAGGUUUUAAACAUGUAAUAAUUCAGAUAAUUAAGCCAAUUAUUAAUAGUUGAGCGACCGUGCUAAAACCACGAAACUCGGGAAUGCCUCACACCUUCUCCCGAGUUAACAAAAUUCCUUACCUGGUCUUUUGGUUUUCACAGACUUUAAAACAGAGUCAAAUUUCUUCUAAUUGGUUAAAAUAAAUCGGUGACUUGGGACACCAUAUAUUAUUCCAAGUGGCGACUCUGAAUCAAUAAAUAAUCUAUUUCGACUAAUGUCACUUUAAUUGGAAAAAUGUCAUAUUCCCUUCGGAAAAAAGGAGGUGUGACGGCUCUGGCGACUCUGCUGGGAACAAGAGCCCAGAAUCUCUGGUUCAGGGUUCAGAAUUCGAGCUUAGAAUAACUAUUAUACUUGGCAUUUGUUUAUUAUUUGACUUUUUACGUGCUUGAGCCUAACGUGCUAAAUGACGCUUUUUACCGCUUUGAUAUUGCUUGAACUGUAUAUAAAACUGUUACGAAACCCUUCUUGUCUCUGAGUCUUCUGAAUCUUCUGGAAAGUGCAUGCUAGCAAAGCCGGUGAAGCUUCUAUUUUCCAGGUACUCUGCCCCCCUCGGCUCGAGUUGUCCGCUCGGGUAAGCCAGGUCUAGAACAAUACACCCCAAGAUUUAAACUUAGAAUAACAUAGCCUCAUGUCGGAUCCCUAGUAGGAACGUUUGUUUGUAUCACGUGCAUUUGACUUUGGGGACUCAACACAGGGGUUGGGUCCGUCUAGGACGUGUACCCAAAUUAAAAAGACCAUCCUGAUGCAUCUUACGUGCUACUUGUGCAUUUAUUUGUUUUGGCUUGCAUGUUGACUGGCUUCUAGGGAAAGAAAAUUUUAAAAAAUAAAAAAUAAAGAGUGAGAGGUAAGUAUUUAAAAUCUGAAACUCUGCCGAAAUUUUGAAAAAGAAAGAGAAAAGAAAAUAAGCCAAUGUUCUCAAAAAGUCAUGUUUCCCUAUUUCAUUAAAACUGGGCCAAACUACGCGGGUCUGAUUCUUACUGGGUGUGAGAUACAUAGGCAAACCUCAUCGGUUCCAGCCCAUAAUUUUAAAAAAUCCAAAAAAAAUUUCCUUUACUUUCUUCUUUAGAAAGUCUUUCUUUUAGACUCUAAUUUUUAAAAAUACAAGAAUAUUUUCUUUUAAUUUCUUCUCAAAAUACAAAAAUAUUUUCGCUCUUCUUUCGAAAAUUGAAAAGAAAAUUCAAGAUUCAAAAAUAUUUUCUUUUUUCUUUAGAAGUAUUUCUUUCAUAAAUUCAAAAUAAAAGUCCAAUAUUCAAAAAUAUUUCCUUUCUUCUUUAGAAGUUUUUCUUUCGAAAUUCCAAAGAAAAACAAACAAAUCAAAAUCCAAAAAUAUUUUUUUCUUCUUUAUAAGUUCUUUUUUUUCGAAAAUUAAAAAUUAUAAAAAAAAUUCAAAAUUCAAAAGCCAAAAAAAAGAGUUAGUUUGUUUAUUUUAUUCCUCAUUUUCCCGUACUAUGCAAGAUCUGCUUCAUGUUUCCACAUGAUACGUAGGCAACCCACAUUAGGUUCGACCAACCAUUAUAAAAAAUGAUGAUGAUAAUAAUGAGGACCGACUGAGUCCAUUCUAACGUGUCUUUUGUUUUGAAUUGUGAACAAAGUUUGAGGUGGUCGGUUUGUCUUAAGCUACAACAUAUCCAUAAUUCACAAGGUCCAAGGGAAAAAUGCCAAUGGCAACUGACAUUGAAGUUGUUACGAGUGGUCAAGAGACUCGGGGGUCAGAGGGUACAACAAGAGUCUAUUGUGAUUGAGGAAAAUAAAAUAUUGAAAUAGUAAAUGACUCAAUUGUGUCAAACAUGGGCCAAUGGUCAAGGACCACACAUUUCUCAUGUUUUCCCAAAGUUCACACCCAUCUCGACUACUACUACUCCGGUCUCAUUGUCUGAUCAAUCCUAUCCAUAUGGGUUCAGUCUUUAUCCCAACUGUACGACUACAGCUGGAACUUCUGUUGCAUACUCCCACAGUGUGCCAUUGACAACCAAUCACACAACCACUGUUGUUAUGCCCCGUCUUUACUAUCCCACAGCCAACAGUGGUACAGAAGAAAAGUCAUGAGUCACAUUUUUCUACCCAACAAGAAUAGUACCACUCGUACCUAUUUGAUCUUCUUGCAAAUAUUGAGAAGCCUACCCGAAAGAUGGCACAGGAAGAAAUAACCCAAAAAAUAAAAAGCUUAGAACAACAGCUGAAAAUCAUAUAAGGGAUGGUAGGUCAUAAGAGUAUUGCCUUCAAGGAUCUAUGUAUGUUCCCCAAUGUCCACUUGCCACCUGGUUUCAAGACCCCCAAAUUCAAAAAGUAUGAUGUACACGACGACCCCAUAGCCCACUUAAAAAGGUAUUUCAAUUAACUAAGAGGUGUGGGAGGAAAUGAAGAAUUACUAAUGGUUUAUUUUGGGGAAAGCCUUACGGGGAUAACCUCUAAAUGGUUUACUAAUCAAAACACCUCUCACUGGCAUGUCUAGGAUAACAUGGCCUAGGCCUUUGUCAAAUAGUUCCAAUACAACAUCAAAAUUGCCCAGACCACAAUCCCUUUCAAACCUGAAGAAGAAACCAACUGAAAGUUUCAGGGAAUAUGCCAUUAAAUGGAGAGAGCAAGCGGCUAGAGUUAAACCACCCAUGCGAGCUAAUCACUGUAUUCCUUCAGGCUUAAGAGCCAGAUUAUUUUCAAAACAUUAUGUCCGCAGUGGGCAAAUCCUUCUCGAAAGCAAUCAAAAUUGGGAAAAUGGUUGAGAAUGGCCUUAAGACGGGCAGAAUUAUAAGUCAAGCAGUUCUGAAAGCCGCAACUCAGUCUGUCCAGAUUGAAUCGGAUAAUUUAUGUGACACGAAUGAGAAAGAUAUAGAAACUAUGAUGACAUCAGAGUCAAAAAGAGCAUCUCGAAGGUAUGACCAGCUUCGCCUGGUUUUCGAUGAUUCCCCUAAGCACUACUAUCUAUCUCAGAACCCACAAUACUCUGUUGCUCCACCUCAGUAUGUUGUCCAGCCACCAAAACACCCAGAAGGAGAGCACGAGCAUCACAAAAUUUCCACCAACCUCUAUAAAAUAUUUAAGUGCCCUAUAACCCACAUCCAAGCCAGGGGUAUAAAGGGAAACAAAGGUUGAAACAUAAUUUUAUACCAAUAGGAGAGUCCUAUACAAGUUUGUUUGAGAAAUUAAAGCAUUAUGACAUGAUUGCACCUAUUCCUCCAAAUUAUAUAGACCCACGUGCAAGAAGCUUUGACCCUUCUAAAAGGUGUGAAUACCAUUCCAAUGCUCAGGGCCACAAUUUUGAAAGUUGUCGGGAUUUGAAAAGAGAAAUAGAAAGGAUGAUCCAAGAAAAAUUGAUUGAAAUUGGAGAAGGCCCUGGUGAUUUUGAUGAUCAAAUUUGUGGCUAAAUGUCAAGCUAGGCAAUUGAAAAGUCAUUCCCUCCUCACUAGCAAGGAAUCUUGGUAGCUUGUUUUGAUAUUUUUUUCUAUGAUCUGGGUUAUUUUAGGGUUGUGAUCCAGAUUUUAUAUAUUUUAUUGAGUCAAACCCUUCCAUCCAUCUAUUUUAUCUGUGUGAGUCUUGUCUGUUUGUUCUAUUGCUAUUUUCAUUAUCUGGUUUAUUUUAGGGUUGUAACUCGGAUUUUAGGUUGUUUGUCUUGUUGUCCAACCUUUCCAUUCUUUACUCAAUGAAAGACAUUUUGUCCUUUUGUGUCAUUCUAUGCUUAAUCCUUUUCCUGCUAGUUCUAGUGACAUGACAUGCAUGCGGAAUUUUUUGCCAGAUCCUAGAAAACUGAUUUACUCUUGAAUUGGAUAACUGAGAAAAAGAUACUUUUGAGGAUGAAUAAAGAGUUGAAAUACCUUAGAAUUAAUCCUGAGUAAAAUUCAAGUGGAACUAGAAUAGUCAUAUCCAUGGAGGUUAAGAAUCUUUACCUUCAAAAUCAUUGUAAAGAUUAGAUUUGAGGAUGUUGAAUCAUUUGAAGUUCGGUGGAAAGUUUGAGAUUAAUGGAUGGAAAGUGUCUUUCGACUACGACACACCAAAAACACAGACAUGUUCAUCAUUGUUGUGAUCGCGAAUGGACACUAUAAUUGGUGUUCUCGAGGCUGGGAGGCCUUUUUUCUGCUAUCCAAAUACUUUAUACCCUUUGUUACCCCUUUUGAGCUUGUAUUAUUUUCUUUGACCACUUUCUUUUGGAAUUAAGUUUCGAGUUAAAAGUUAAAAAAAUGAAUAGAAAAGUCCAUGCCCCAAGAGUACAAACUGGGGCAGCUCUUAGAAAAAAAAACAAUCAAAGGUCCAUGUCCCCAGAAAAGUUGGGGAAACAUGUUUUGAAAACCAACAAAAAAAGACAGAGAAACAGAAAAAAGAUAGUUAGGUCAGAUGUUUGAACUACACUUGACCUGAUUUCUUAAAAAGGAUUAAUAGGCAGCCUUACAUGGUUCGGUCAAACCAAAUAAGAAUUCAUAAAACAAAAUCCAGUAUCUAAAACUGGGGCAUGAGUUUGUUUUAGUUUUUGAAAGAGUCAAUUCCAAGAGUUGUAAGUGUACAACCCAUCAUAUUGAGUCUAUUUUGAGCCUUCAUGUCGUCCUUUCUUUCCAACCAUAUCCAAAAACCUUCCAAAUAAAGCCCUUCUGAUCAGCCUUCAAGAAUUCCAAGAGACGCAUGCAAUGAACAACAAUUGUCACACGACGUAGAACACUAUCAAGUUGCUCACAAAAAAAGAGAAAGAAAAAGAAAAAAAAAUGAGAGAGUCUUACUAAUGAAAACCCUCAUGGGCACUGUAAGGAGAUGGUAAGUAGAGAAAAUAAAUGAGAGAGACUUGUUGGUAAAAAUUCAUCGGGGCACCACUAGUCGAAAGUGAGUCGUGAAGCUGAUGCAAAAAAUUGACAUAAACAAGCCUGACUUCAAAGGUCAUAAGAAUGGUAAAAGGGAAGAUUAGAUUAGUUUGAUAGAUUGGCCGUUAAGUCCAAAAUGCAUGUCAUGAUCAUUAAGGCUAGUUAUUGGAAGAAAAAGAGAAAAAUUCUUCCCUCUUUCCUUCCCGAUAGGGGCAUUUCUUGUUGAUACUGUUUCUUUGCAUCAUUAUGUCCCUUCACUCUGAGUCAGUCCUUGUCAAAACAAGCAAGAAAAUUUUUCAAAAUUUGCUACCAGCUUUUCAGUUGCACAAAGUAAAUUUGGUUAGCACACUCAGUUGUUAUAGUCUACAUGCCUUGAGGAUUCAUGCAAACGCCCCUACCCAAAAGACUCUUUCCAUCCUACUUGGCUAAAGCAAGCAAAGAUAACCUCGAGGUUAAUCAGGGGUUAUCUGUAGUACUGAACAGAGACUAUGAAGUGUGCACAUCAUGCAAAAGACGCACACCUGGUUGCGACUCUCUCUGACAAACAAAUUGCUCAAAAAGCAAGAAGCCAUUCAAGAUAUCAGAAAACGUCACCUAAGAAAAUAUCUCCAGUUGGUGUAAGGCUGAUUGAGCCACAAAUAAAAAUGGUACUGGGUGUGAAACAAUCAGGAUUGAUGCAGAGUAAAAGUCUCUUGAAACCGUCUCAAGUUGAUUGAGCAAAAGUCAAGUUGCCCACGACUCAAAGCCACAAACCAACCACCACUUUCAAAACUGACAAAAUUUUCUUUUUUUUUUGAAACAAGAACAAAGCAGUGCAAGGAAAGUGGUUCAAAAAAAAGAAGAAAAAAAAGAAAAAAGAAAAAAAAAAGAGAAAAAGAAGAGAAGAGAAGAACCAACAAAAGGGAAGUUUCUCAAAUAUUUGCCUUUAUUUGUCUUGCUAGUAUGCAUAAAAUCCUGCCAUCGCUCUUCACAUUUUUUUACUCCUAGGGUAAUACAUCCUAGUUUGAUGGAUUUCCCUUCCAAUAAAAUAUUAGUCUAAUGAAUCUUUCUCCUAAGAUAAGAAAACCUAGUCUGAUGAAUUUUCUCCUAGGAUAGAAAUCUUAGUAUGAUGAAUCUUUCUCCUAAGAUAAAAAGCCCUAGUCUGAUGAAUUUUCUCCUAGGAUAAACAUCUUAGUCUGAUGAAUCUUUCUCUAAGAUAUAAAAAAACCUAGUCUGACGAAUUUUCUCCUAGGAUAGAAAUCUUAGUCUGAUGAAUCUUUCUCCUAAGAUAAUAAAUUAGAAAACCUAGUCUGAUGAACUUUCUCCUAGGAUAGACGUCUUAGUCUGAUGAAUCUUUCUCCUAAGAUAAAUAGAAAAUCUAGUCUGAUGAAUUUUCUCCCUGGAUAAUUAAAAAAAAGUCUGGAUUUUUAAAAAAAAAUAAAGGAUCAAUUUCAGUUUUUAGUUGUUAAUCUUAAGUUCAGGGGUCCCGCCUGGAGAAUAGGAUCAGUUUUUAAUUUCCUUAAGUUAUUAAUCUUUAGCAUUCCUUUUAGUUCAGGGGUCUCGCCUAGAGAAUAGUGUCAGUUUUUAGUUUCCCUAAGUUGUUAGUCAUUAGUUUUUCUUAAAGUUCAGGGGUCCUGCCUAGAGAAUAGGGUCAAUUGUUAGUUUCCUUAAGUUUUCGAUCUCUAGUUUUUCUUUUGUUCAGGGGUCCUGCCUGAAGAAUAUGGUCAGUUUUUAGUUUCUUCAAAUUGUUAGUCUUCCAACAUAGGGUCUCCACUCCCUAGUCUUUUUUUUCAGGGUACACCAAACCCGACCUUUUAUUGCUUUAUAUAAUGAAGUAAUAUAGAGUUUUGGUACCAAUAACUAACGAAAUUUUUCUAGUAAAAACUGGGGCAGAAAAUUUCGUUCGUUCGUUUAUUUUGGGUGCCUGAGCAGGUUAUACCUCGAGGCACAAGGUUCGAGAUGACCAAAAGAAGUCUCAAUCCAAAAUAGAGAAAAGAAAAGGAAAAGAAGUGAAUUCAAAGUGCAGACACAAAGCAAAGAUGUGGACUGCUCAAGACAUGACUGAAGUCACAAGCUUUGCAUGUCCCAUCUUGAUCCGAAAAGCUGAAGAAGAAUGGACAAGCACAUCCAGCUAGCAAGCAUCAAGGUUCAGAUCAGAGUCUGUGUGAAGAACCAACGAAGAAUCGAGAUCAAGCUUCAAAAGACUCAUAGAUAGGAAUCUUGUAACUCGUAGAUAAUAGGCUUAGUUAGUCUUUUUUAUUUUGACUUUGGUAUAAUAAGGAGCUCAGAAAGUAGUAAACAACAGCAACAACGGUGAAAUCACAUCUUAUCGGUAGUCCCAGCUACCAAAAUUUUCAGAACUACACUGACCUGAUUCCUUUAUAGCCAAGGAUAUGUAGGCAACCUCCGGAGCAAGGUUCAGUCAAACUUUUUCAAAAUGCUUCCCAUGGAGUAUCAAACAGGCAAAAAUUGUUCAUGAUUGCUCACUUUAUCUUUGCCCGAAAAGUCUUCAUGUUUCGGAGCAAAGAGGGGUAGCUGUGACACCUGAGUUUUGCCCCACACAGAAAAUUACUCCUAAAAUGUCAAAAAAUAAUUUUAAUCGCUUUUAUAGAAUUUUAGGAAUAUUUCUUGUAUUUAUUUGCAUUGUUCAUGCAUAUUUAGAGUUAUUUUUAGAAAAUCAUAAAAAAAUGUUUAAUUUUUCAUCUCGUAGCAGUUAAAUCUUAAUUGUAUUUAGAAUUUAAUUACAUCAAUUAAAUGCAUUAUCAAAUGAAAAAAAUUCACAAAAUACCAUAGUCCUUUCUACAUUUUAGCUUUUAGUUUUAAAUUAAUAAUUUUCUUUUAUUAGUUUACAUUGUUAAGGUAAUAACUAACUAAUUGGUAGAUAAAAUAGUAAGAUGGUUAAUUUUGCAGUUUUUAGUUUACACAUUAGGUUAGUCUUAUUGUUGGCUAAAAGUGAAAUUUUUAAAAAGAGAAGCCUUUGCUGUUGGAGAUUUAUUAGCUUGAAUUGGGCCAGUUUGAGCCCAUUUUCUGUUAAAUCCAAAUCAUCCCUCCUAGCCCAGACCAAGCCCAAAUUCGGUCCUCCCCUAUUAAACACAAACGACCCUGUUUCGUCUCCCCUUCCCCUCAUCUCUGAAAAAAACCUAAUCCCUUUCAUUUGAGUAAUGGAGAAAAACGGUAGAACAUAGAGACGGAUCUCCCCCCCCCCAAUUGAAAAUCCCUAGCAGCUCACAGACCCCUUUCCCUCGAAGACAACCGGCCGCCACCCCUUUCCCUCUCCUUCUUAUUUCUACUCUCUCUUAUCGUACCUCGUCCAUUCAUUCACUUAUGCUUACUUUGCUUGUUGAAAUCUGAUAUUCGAUUUGUGAAGUUCUCAAAUCAGAACAAAAAUCCAACGAAUUGAUCGUUAAUGGAUGCGCCAACAAGUCCUUGAGCAGCUUGCCCGAUUUAUUUCUUCCUGAGGUUUCUGAAAGUCGUUUUGAGCUGGAGAAUCAAUGUACUGUUGUUUCUGCUAAAAGAGUUGUUUGCUUGAUGAGUUUGGUUGGGCUGUGUUGUUGAGUUUCAACUUUCUCCUAUUUUGUAUUUAUUUGGCUUUCUAAAACUGGUUCUUGCGCAACCAAGUAUUCAUUUAAACUCAUCUUUAUUUUGGCAAACAUGAAUUAAUUCUUCUAUUUCUCCAUAAAAUUUCGACUCAUUGUUGUUUUUACGUAUUUGAAUCUUUUUCUGAGUAGUCUAUCGAUUAAUAGAUAUAAUUUUAUUUAACUUUGGGGUGAUUUGCUUCUGUUUUAUUUGGGGACUUGAAUGUUGAAUAGAGCAGGAUUCUGUUGCUCUGGCUUCUGCUCCUUCAAAUUUCUUUGAUUACAACAACAACAACAACAAAAAUAACAACAAACCUAGUAUAAUCCCAACAGGUGGGGUCUGGGGAGGGUAGUCUGUACGCGGACCUUACCCCUACCUAAUGUAGGUAGAGAUGCUGUUUCCAAUAGACCCUCGGCCCAGGAAGGGCAAGAAGAAGAAGAGGAAGCAAGGAAGGAAGAAAGAAGGAAGAUAAAAGAAAAAAUGAGAGAUAAAGGAUAAGUAAUACCAAAUAAUAGCAACGGGAAAUACAAUAUCUGAGGCGAACAAAAGCACAAACGUAAUAAAAAUCUAAGAAUAUGAAGGGAUAUGCAUACUACUAAGACUAUCGGUGAACAACUAAAAACUACCCACUAACUUUCUACCUUAAUCCUCGCCUCCACACUCUCUUAUCAAGGGUCAUGUCCUCAGUGAGCUGAAGUAGCGCCAUGUCCUGUCUAAUCACCUCUCCCCAGUACUUUUUAGGCCUACCUCGACCUCUUCUCAAACUCUCCAUGGCCAGCCUCUCACACCUCCUGACAGGAGCAUCAAUUCUUCUUCUCUUAACAUGUCCGAACCAUCUCAGCCUCGACUCUCGCAUCUUGUCCUCUACGGAGGCUACUCCCACUUUGUCCCGAAUAGCUUCAUUCUUAAUAUGGUCAUGAAUCUGAUUAAUGUUAGAUAGGUAUGGAGUGUAAAUAGGCACAAAAAAUGAUUAUCGAUAUAGAUAGCCUUCCCAUUUAACACUUGACUUUGUAUUGAAAGACUAAUGAAUUACCUGAUGAUUCAUUUGGAAAUUAAACCUGUAAUAAAGGAAAGUCGUAGAUGUAUCAGAUUUGUGAAGCAGUUUGUUGAAUCAAUAGAGUGGUUGUAUGCGUAACAAGGUUCGAUAGAGUUGAUUGAUUGAUAGAAUGGCUAUUUGUGUAAUAGGCCUAGCUGUUUUAGAACAAGUAAAUGUUUUGAACCCAUAUAAUGGAGACACUUUAUUUGUAAUUUCCUAAUUGCAAUCCCAUGCUUCUAUUUGCAUUAGAUAGUCAUGCGAUACCGGUUGAUUUGUAUCUUUUGAAUAUAAUUAGGAUUGACCCUUUGUAAUUUCGUUUGAGUUUUACCAUUCAUGCUCUGAAUUGAAAGGGAGGCUAGUGAAUAAUCGACCCAAGGCACAAAUGAUGAAAACUUUCCUUUAAUCAAUCUUAGUAAAUACAUGCAGCUGGCUUCUAUGCCUUUUUAGAAGAAUGCUUAACAAUUGUCGAACAUUUCCAAACAAUUUAGAUUCAGUUAAUACUACCAAUUUCCAUUAGUAAAAUUCACACCCUUCUCCCGUGGCAUAGUCAUGAUACCUAAUCCCGAAUUCGAGUUUGCAUUUCACGUGACUCAAUCAUAACUUCAAAUAAUUAUAAAAAUAAGCAUGUUGUAAAUUGCGGGUAUGUUUCACGUGACGCGAUUCACAAUAUGUCCAAAAACAACGAGUGCGCACCAUCGCGACUUGUUUAAAUAAAUUUCAUAAAUACUAAAAGUGGUUAAGUAAAUAAUUAAAAUCGGUUAAAAAUUUAAAAAUGCAUAAAAGGUUUUAAACAUGUAAUAAUUCAGAUAAUUAGGCCAAUUAUUAAUAGUUGAGCGACCAUGCUAAAACCACGGAACUCGAGAAUGCCUCACACCUUCUCCUCGGUUAAUAUAAUUCCUUACCCGGUCUUCUGAUUUUUGCAGAUUUUAAAAUAGAGUCAAAUUUCCUCGAUUUGGGAUUUAAAAUAAACCGGUGACUUGGACACCAUAAAUUAUUUCAAGUGGCGUCUCUGAAUCAAUAAGUAAUCACAUUUCGAAUAAUCUUACUUUAAUUGGAAAAACUCUCUAUCCCCUUCGAAAAAAGGAGGUGUGACAUUCACAAGUUUCUGAUAAGUGGCUCUAGCAUUCUUUAGCCCUAAAGGCAUCACAUUAUAAUAAUAUGUGCCGAAGUUCGUUAUAAAUGAAGUUUUUUCCCGAUCCUCCGGGUUCAUCUUGAUUUGAUUGUACCCAGAGUAAGUAUCGAGGAAACUUAUUAACUCGUGCCCGGCCAUCGCUUAAUUCAUUUGAUCAAUGUUUGGCAAUGGGAACGAGUCUUUGGGGCAUGCCUUAUUUAGAUCCUUAGUAUACGCACAUGCGAAAUUUAUUCUUCUUCUUCUUUGGAACUACCACUACGUUAGCAAAUCAUUCAUGAUACUCUACCUCUCGGAUUGAACCGAUAUCAAGCAAAUGAGUUACCUUUUCUUUGACGAAUUUGUUUCUAACCUCAUCAAUAAUGCAUUUUUCUCCUCACCAAAGGCAUGUUAGGAUCUAGGCUUAGUUUGUGAACGACCACUUUUGGCGGGAUACCUGUCAUAUCCGCAUGCGACCAUGCAAAACAAUCAACGUUAAAUUUAAGAAAUUCAAUAUAUCCUGACCUAAGCUCGGGCUUUAAUCCUAUCCCUAAGUGGAAUUUCCUCUCCAAGAACUUUUCGAACAAUGCGACUUGCUUGAGUUUCUCCGCUGUGGACUUUGUUGCAUCCGUUUCUUCUGGUACCUGGAAAUAUCUUGGUACCUGAUAGGGUUCCGACGGCCUUCCCCCUGGUUGACUACAUUCGGGCUCGGGAGCAGGCAUUCGAUUGCUAUAAUUGCUACGCUGCAUGUUCCUUCCCUUUAUUACUAGAAACUUUGAUCACGUUCAUCUCCCUUGCCGCCGGUUGUUCACCUUUUAUCUUUUUAAUUCCCUCUAGCAUUAGGAAUUUCAGAAGUUGAUGGUAUGUUGACGGUACAACCUUCAUCUCGUGCAACCAUGGUCUCCCAAGAAUGAUGUUGUAACCCAUAUCACCAUUUACCACUUCGAAAAUGGCAGUUUUCAUUACCCCUUCGGUAUUCGUAGGUAGCAGGAUUUCCCCUCGGGUUGUUACACUUGCUAAAUUGAAGCCGACGAGGAGCUUUGUGGCUGGAAUUAUACUCUCGGUUAGUUUGGGUUGUUCUAGCAGUAUCCAUUGGAUAAUGUUGGUUGAACUCCCUGGGUCCACCAAAACACGUUUAAUCUUAAAAUCUAAAACAUUAAGAGAGAUUACUAUGGCAUCGUUAUGAGGAAGUAGGAGUCCAUCUGCGUCCUCCUCCAUGAAGGUGAUGUCGUCCUUAGCGACUUCCUAGAGCCUCUUACUGUGGGUUACUACUACCUUCAUUUUUUUUUGCCGCCGAAAAUGCCACACCAUUAAUCUUGUCCCCCCAUAAAAAUCAUGUUGAUCGUCAAACGCGGAGGGUUAGUCGUGUUAUUCUAGUUGCAGCCGCAAUUGUUCUUAGCUCAGUCACUUAAGAAUUCUCAGAGAUAGUUUUGUUUUUUAAUAAUGUUGCCACUUCCUCGCGCAAAUGCUGGUAGUCCCCAAUCCGGUGGCCGUUGGUCCCAUGAUACCGCACCAUAAAUUAGGAUCCCUCUGACUGGGAUCAGGCCUCAUUGGCCUCGGGAACCGUGCUUCCUUAAUGCUCCUCAUAGCUGACACUAAUUCCAUAAUACUGAUGUUGAAGUUGUAUUCAGACAGCGUGGGGUAGGAGGAGUCUUGGGAACCCUAUAUCUCCUUGCCCUACAAUGAUUUAUUAUUCCGGUCGCAAUCAUCUCUCCUAUCGGUUGCGAAUCUAUACGCUGACUGGAAAUCUCUACCAUGUUCUUCGACCCUCUUGCAAGGCAAAAAUCGACCUCUAGAAGAUCGUCGAUCUGUGUCAAAAUUGUUAACUUAUAUGAGUCCACCAAAUUAUAGAGCAUCUAAUCCUUUAUGAGUUUCCACUAAGAAUGCUUAUGAAGCAGUAAGUAAAGGAGACACGGGAUUUUUACGUGGCAAAAUCCCACUCAAAGGGACAAAAACCACGACCUACACUUGUAGGCUUUCAACUUCACUUACUUGUAAAUACCUAUUAAAGCCACUUUGUAAUAACUCUAUUACAAAGAAUUCACGUCAACUAACUUGUGAUACUUUUACCACAAGCCACUUUGUCACUCUCUAGUAACAAAGACUUUAACUUAUGACUAAGCCUAGUCACAAUAUAAAUUCAGAGAGUUUACAGAUUUUGCAAGAGGGUUUCCUAAAACACAGCUUCUAAGAAAGCAAGAUAGGAGUUACAAUGAAGAACAAAAUAACAAGAUUACAACUCAACUACGGAUACACAUAGACUCAUUGUGAAACUGAUCCUUUAGUGGAGUUGCCUUCUUGUUCUUGACGCACUUAUGACUUUAAUUCAGGAUGAACACUUUUCUGCUCGAGAGAAUAUCACUAAAUGCUCAAAUGAAAAAUGUUGUGCCUUGCACCAAGUUGUUAUACUACAAAACACAUCACAAUGAUGAUGUCAAUUCUUGGUACACGCUUCUUCCCAAUGAGAUGUGACUGCUGCACUGUCGCAUGCACAGUUGCGGACAGUCACUUUCUGCAGUUGCAUUUCAAAUGUAUAGUUGACUUGUACUUCUAUCAGAGAACUCUAAGGGACCAGGUCCCUGUUGUGUUCCUCUUUGUAACAGUUGCGGAUAGUCACUUUCUGCUGUUACCUUCCAGCUGUACAGUUGACUUGUACUUCUGUUAGAGAACCCUAAGGGACCAGGUCCCUAUUGUGUUCUUCCUUGUGGUUGUUCACUCAUUUGCUGGAGAUUAGACUGAACAUUGUUCAUUUUAAAUGUAUACUAGGUUGGUCAGGUUCUCUAUCUGGUUCUUGACAAUAAGUUUGUUAGAUCAUCAAAACGUAAGCAACAUAAGGCAAAGACAUUAAAAACCCAUCAAUUUCCCCUUUUUGAUGAUGACAAACUUAGGCAUUGAUAGUAUUUGUUCAGAGCAGAAAUAACCAGAUAAGGUACCAGAAACUACACAAGUUCCCUCUGACCUUUUGCUUUUGAUUCCCCCUUAUUCAGAUCCCCUAUAUUUGCAUAAAGUUUCUACAAAAGUUCCCCCUGAACUUUUCCCCCUUUUUGGCAUCAUUAAAAAUAUACACAAGCAAGCAAUCAACAUAAAGAAGUCUAACACAGCCAACUCAUGCCACAUAUGUGCACACAACAUGACAGAAAAGAGAAGCCAGAGGAAAACAACAUUGUAUAGGCAAAAAGAGGAGUUGUUUCAUUAAGAUUAACAAUGGACAGAGCAAAAUAGGAGCAGUAAUGGUGAAAUCUAGCAUGCCAUCACAAAAAGAAAACAACAGUCACAAAACAUUAGAGCAAAAGAUAGCUGGCCACUAAGAGGAUCCUAGAGGGCACUAGGAGAGGGAGGCUUGGAAGAGGAGGAAACAAUGAUUUUGAGAACCAGGUCCAGUCGGGCAUUUGCAUACAGUUGUUCUUCAAGCAGUUUUGCACGAAACUUAUCAUUUUCCUUUGUCAGGCGAGCAACUUCUUCAUUAACGGAAUCGGGUCCUUUAACUGCUUGACUGAGCUGAGUUUCCAGUAUGGCAUUUUGAGCCCUCAACCUUCUGAUCUCUUCAGAAGCUACAUUUUGAGCAUUGAUUAGAUGAGAAAUGGUCGAGAUGCUUACACCAACUCUUUAUACACACUCAUAUUCUUCCAGAGUAGUUUUAGAGAAGGUUUGUGUGUGCCCACUUUGGGAUUACCCAAGGGGACAUUGUAAAAUCUGAACACUUGAGUGAGGAGAAACCAUAUGGUAGCCCAUGAUUCCCACCUUUAAAGUUUGUCACCUUUUACAUAUGAUCUAUCAUGAUUGCUGACAGAUUGAUUGGGAUAAACUCAUCAAAGCGCCUCCAUUAAGACCAUAUCUGAUUUUGUAGCAAUAGACCGCCUCUCAAAACGAGGUAAGAGCACCUUAUUGACCAGUUCAAAAAGAAGAUGAUACUCAGGAAGCAAUACCUUCUUAUGCACCUAUUCCCCCUACUGAAUAGCUUGCUAUUUCAUGAUAGCUCUCCUAAAGUUGACACCACAGAUACCUUUGACUGAGGACAUUCCUUCACAUGGAAGUUUGAGAACCUUUCCCAAUGCUAAAGCGUCGAGUACAAUGUCUAUUCUAUUUACUAGUGCACAAAUGUGAUCCCCCUCAACAGUGAAGAGAGAUGCACAGAAAUUUUGGACCGCAUCUUCAUACACCAGAGGCAUGCUCCCCUGAAACAAGUGCUCCCAUUGCUGAAAUUACACUAUCUCCAGAAUUUGUCUCAUACCAGCCAUCUCUGAAAUUGCUGGGUCAAAUGUACGACCCCACAAGACUUUUUAAGUUCUUAAUCUCUCCUGCCAAAGACCACUAUCACUGGUCAUGGUCCUCAGAGAACCAGGUUCCCUUACAGUUUCACUUUUUCAUUUUCUAGAUCCUUCAAUAGACUUUCCUUUCCAACUUACUAGCCCCACAGUAUCAUCUUCAGACAUGGCUUGCUCAAAUGGACUCUUCUUAGACUUGCUGCUGCCCUUCACGGAUGCACCAUUUUAUUUCUCAAUAGCUUUAUCAGAAGCUUCAUCCAUAGACUUUUGAGCUUUUAUAGAUUGUUUCACUAAGGAACCAGUUCCAUUAGAGCAUUUUUGUCAACCCCAUCUACUGGAACGCUCUUGUCAAUAACAAAUUCCCCUUGAUUCAUCAACCUCUUUUUCCUUGUCUUGACACUCCUCCUACUUUUCUAUAAUGUAGACUCGAAGCCCUCUUUCUGCUGCGACCUGAUAGCGGGUGACUUGGAGGAGGAUUCUAAGAGCUUAGGAUGAUUAAGAGGUGCAAGAGUGGGUUUUCCUGGAAGAGAAUCAGGUUCUUCAGCAGGUUUUUUGGGGAACGUCUCAUGAGCCAAGGACUAGAGGAGUACUAUGGUUUUUACAUCACCUAGGAAUGAAGUUUCUUCCCCCUGAUACUCAGACAAGAGAUAUGCUCCUUCAUUCAUCAGACUCUCAGCAGCGAUAGCCAUGAUGUUGUGAGCUGCUUCCUUUUCUGGUGACUCUGUGGGAGUCACUAAGUCCAAAAUGGAGGAGUUCAGAUACUGAUCAGGAUCAUCCUCAGAGAUCUCUGACACUUGUGAGGUAAAACCUCCUGAGUGUUCUUUUAUGAGAUAAGAAGAGUGACAAAACAUAGGGUUUUCAAUACAUGGAAGGAAAACAGGGUUUGUCAGAAAAGGAAAAGCUAUAAGAAAAGAGGAGGAACCAGGUGUGGAUACAGUAGUAUUCGAAGGAGUGGAAUAGUGAAUUUUUGUGGGAUGAUUUUAAGGAUGAUAGGGAAGUGGGAGUGGUGCUAAUGGUGGGAGAAGAAAGCGAUCGUUCGAUUGCCAUUAUAAGAGUAUUUGGUAGGUAAGUAGAUUGAGUGAGAGAAGUGAAGAGAGGAUCACAGAGGUAUAGAAGAGAUAAAGGUUUAUGACUUGCUGUUAGAGAGAAAGAGAGUUUUAUGGGAAGAAGGACUAAUGAUGAGAAGAGAGAGAAACAGGUUCUGAAUAGUCUUAAAAACGGCGGUAGGUUUGUGGGAAAACGUUGUUUGCAGAGGGGAUGAAGGGAUUUGAAAGACAAGACAUGACAUGCAGACUUUGAAAAGUCAGAUGAUGUGGCAGCUGAGUUAAUUUUGUUAACAUUUUUUAGAAGGCAUGCAGAACAAACACAUUACUACUAACCUGUGGUAUAUAAACCUGAUACUCGAUCAAUUUUUUUUGAAAAAGAUUUUAGCAGCUCUUCUUUUGCAGUUCAUAAUUGUACCUUUAGCUUCUAUGAUCGUUAUGCGUGUUUAGCUGCAACGGUAUCGAUGUGAGUUAGGCUUGGCCAGAAAACACUAGCUAUUUUUACCUGAAGGUGUUUUUCAUAGCCAACUGAUGGAGAAUCAGGUUCUCUAUUAGACUUUAAUAACCCCAGCUUCACUUUGUUUCUUCCAAAAUAUUCCCUACUCAAGGCUUUGGUGAAGAUAUCUGGAAUUUGGUUUUCUGCGCUGCAGGACUUUGCACGGAUCAACCCUUUCUCCACAUUGACCCGUAGAAGAUGAUGCUUUACCAUAAUGUGCUUGGUCCUCUUGUUUUGAACUGGAUUCUUGAUCAAGUUGAGUGCACCGGUGUUGUCACAUAGAAGAGGCAUACCAUCAUAAAAUACCCCAAAAUCUUCCAGUUACCGCUUAAUUUAUAGAGGUUGAGCACAACAGGAUGCUGCCACUACAUAUUCUGCUUCAGUUGUUGAUGAAGCCAUUGAGUUUUGCUUCCAUGUGGCCCAAGAGAUGAGACAUGAUCAUGGCAAGUGAACCAUUCCUGAAGUGCUUUUCUUGUCCACAAGAUAACCUACAUAGUUAGCAUCAGCAUACCCAAUAAGGUUAAAACUGUCACCUAAGGGGUAAUACAGGACCAGGUCCCGUGUUCCCUUAAGGUAUCUCAAACUUCUUUUGGCAGCCUUCAAGUGGGAUUCCUUGGGACUUGAUUUUAGAUUCUAUUCUGGAGUGAAAAUAUAGAAGGGACUAAAUUUUUUUUUUUGAAUUUUUGAUUCUUGUCUAAAUCCAGAAUGAAGGGGAGUGAUUAUGUUAUCAAGUGGAUGGGAGCUUUUGUGUUUCCAGUUUAGGACUUAGGUUUGAUUGGUAAAGGAACUGGGCAGGUUAAUUGGAUUUCCCUGCACUCCUUGUUCAGUCACUUGUGGAGUGCCUUGCACUGCAUCUCCACUCUUUCUUCAGCUUCAGUGGUAGUUUAUUGAGGUACCAGGUUCCUUGUGAGAAGUGGAAGUGGAUGUUGCAUUGUCUUCACCAGUCUUCUUCAUCUUACUCAUCAUAUCAGCCUACCCAUUUGAAACCUCAUAUAUUUCUCAAGGACCAUAGGUGGUUCAUUAUCUUGAUCAUCACUGUUUCCUCCUUUGUUAGAGGAGGGUGUCUCGUUGAAUAGCACAUGAAUACUUCCUUCCACACAAUGUGCCCUUUUGUUGUGGACUUUAUGGCUUUUGCUUUGUGGGGAGUAUCCUAGAAGGAUUCCUUCAUCGCAUUUUGCAUCAAAACUUCCCAAGUUGGUCCUUCCUAUUGUUGAGAACAUGGCAUUUUCAUUCAAACGUUCUCAGAUGAGUUGUCUUUAGUUUUCUUCUAUUUGGCAGCUCAUAGGGGGUUUUGUUCAGGAGGGACUUGAUCAUAGACCUGCUCACCAAGUAACAUGCAGUGUUUAUUGCUUCUGCCUAGAAAUUUUUUUGGCAAUUCAACUGUUGAUGAGCAUUGUCCAUGCCAUAUCUUCGAGAGUUCUGUUCUUUCUUUCAACAAUACCAUUUUGUUGUGGAGUCCUUGGUACAAAGAAGUUCUGUGUGAUUCCAUUUUUGUUACAAGCUCAUCAAAUUUGGCAUUGUUAAAUUCUGUCCCGUGGUCAGAUCUGAUGCAUACUACCUUUAAUUUUAUCUUCACUUGGAUCUUCUUGACAAAGGCCAUAAAUACCUCAAAAGUUUCAUCCUUUGUUCUAAGAACCAGUGUCCAGGUGAAUCUUGAAUUUGGCAAACCACGAACUAGGUCCUUCUGAAUUAAUUUAUUCAGAAGUGAGAAGCUUGCAUGCCCCAAUCUUCCAUGCCAAAGUUCUGCGUCAUCAUCAACUGACUUCAAGCAUCUCUUAUCACCAGCUUGCAGAGAUUCAAAGUCAGCAACAUGGAUGUUCUUGUUUCUUUUGGCCACUAAGACCACUUUGCCAGUUACCAGAUUGGUAAUUGUGCACACUUUUGAUAAGAACUCUACUUUAUUCUUUUUAUCACAGAUUUGAGAAACACUUAGGAGACUAUACUUCAGACUUUCCACAUAGUCCACGUUCUGAAUUGAGUGUCAGAGAGACUUUCCAACUUUUACAACACUGAAAAUGUACCCCUUCCUUUUUCAAGGGAUGCAUUCCCUUCCCGCAGGGCUUUCAGUGAGAAGAAAUUCAUGGUGCUUCCAGUCACGUGCUUUGAGCAUCCACUGUCCAUGGUUCAUUAUAGUCCGCUUCCUCUCACUGUUCCCUGCACAUGCAAUUUAUGGGUUAGAUUUAGUAACCCAAACUAGUUUGGGUCCCUUGUUAUUAUAAAAGGGAUGAAUAAGGGCUUUUCUAGUCCAUGCAGGCAAUAUUCGUUUCUUGCGAGCGGUACCUGGUCCAUUGUUAGUAGUCACUUUGUCAGUAAACACUUUUUUUUUGAACAGAUUGAACCCUGGCCUGGCAAUUUUUUUGAAGUGCCCAUUGUUCCCACAAUGGGUACACAGCCAAUUAUCAGGAACAACGAUGUACUUGUUGUGAGGGUUGUAAGGAGUUUUCUCCCAUUGGAACCCGAUUCCUUGCCUGUUUCCACUAUUGUUGAAAUACAUGGUAGUGAUAGCAUCUGAGGACCAGGUCCACUUCAGAGAUUUCUCAAGAUCAAUUUUUAUUUUCUCCAACUUAGCUUGAAGUUGCUAAUUUUUCUCAAGUUCACCACAUAGACUAGUUUUCACAUCAUUUAAUUCCUUUUCAAGCUUGAUGUGUGUCUCACUAGCUACUUCAUUCCCUUUCCCAAGACUCACAGUCCUAUGUUCUCUAUUGAGUCCCUCAAUGGUUUCCUCUAGGUCAGUGAUUAUCACUAAAAAAAUCAUCCCUUUCUUGCUCAAUAGCUGCAAUUGUUUCUUCAAGAGUGUGUUUCUCAUUGCUAAGACCUUCUACCAUCAUGUCAUCUCUCUCAUUUUCUACACUAGUUAUUUUUUCAUUCAGAACUUCCUUUUCUUUUUCAAGAUUAGCUAUGGUCUCAUUUAGGUCCACUACACAAACCACCAGAUCAUUUCUAGAUUGUUCAGCUUCUCCUAGUUCUAUGGUCAGGAUCUCCUUAUCAUUAUCAAGGCUAUAAUAAGCAUCAAUUAGAACAUUUGCUAAUGACCUUAACUUCUUAAAAGAGUAGGAUUUCAGAUUUCUCUGAACAUCCCUGAAAUUUACCUCAUCAUCUUCAUCUUCUUCAUCAUCAUCAGACUGAGCCAUUACCGCGAACAGUGAGUCAUACUUCAUUGUUUCAGUUUCCACUGCCAUCAUGGAGCUGUUUUCUGCAUCUGGUUCCCUUUCUGAUUCACUGGGGGAGUCUCCCCAAGCAGCAAGAGCCUGCUUCACAAUAUUGUCAGCUGCACUUUUUCGAUUGAAUCGUUUGCCUGGAACCAGGUUCCUUUUUGCUGCUUUGUCAGAGUUUUGCUUGUAUUGCUCAUGUUUCACGAGUGGACAGUUUUUGAUGAAAUGCCCUGGAUUUCCGCACCUGUGAUAGAGAUCAUUGUUCCUUGCCUUACUUGAACUGCCCCUCUUUGGUAUACCACCAUUUCUUCGAACCAUCUUUUGAAAUCUUUUAGUAAGAUAGGGCAUAUCACUAUCUUCUUCACUUGAGUCACUGCUUUCAGCCUUCAGUACCAUGUUCUUUUCCUUCUUUGGCUCUCUCCUUUCACCGUCCUUUUUUUUUCAUCUCGUAUGUCUUCAGAUUACCAAUCAGCUCAUCCAUGGUUAGAGUUUGUAGAUCUUUAGCUUCAGUGAUGGCAUUUACCUUGCUUUCCCAAGAACCAGGUAUAACAUUGACGAUUUUCCUUACAAGCUUGUUUCUGGGAAUAACAUCUCCAAAUGAAUGAAGCUCAUUUAUGAUGGAUGUGAAUCUGGUGUGCAUAUCCUGUAUAGACUUAUCAUCCUUCAUCCUGAAGAGCUCAUACUCUAUGGUGAGCAUGUCAAUCUUGGACUGUUUAACUUGAGUAGUUCCUUCAUGUGCGGUUUGCAACGCUUCCCAUAUUUCUUUGGCAGUAUCAUAGGCUGAGACUCUGUUGUACUCAUCGGGUCCUAUACCACAUACCAAGAUUUUCUUGGUGCGAUAGUUCUUUUCUACGACUUUUCUACCAAUAUCAAUGUACUCCUUUCUGUCUUUCGGUACCAUUGGUCCAGUUUCUUCAAGCUUCUUCAUAGGAACAUGUGGACCAUCACAGAUGAUGUCCCACAACUCUGAAUCUUCGGCCAUUAUAAAAUCAUGCAUGCGAGUUCCACCAGCUGUAGUAUUGACCAUUGAAUCUAGGAGGUCUGUAGGUUGAUUGUCCUUCCUCAAAGUUGGGUGGAGUAGCCAUUGAGAUCCUUUCUAGGUGUUAACCUUUUAGAAAGAACCUGCUCUGAUACCAAUUAUUAACUUAUAUGAGUCUACUAAACUAUAGAGCACCUGAUCCUCUAUGAGUUUCUGUUGAGAAUACUUAUAAAGCAGUAAGUAAAGGAGACACGAGAUUUUUACGUGAAAAAAUCCCACUCAAGGGGACAAAAACCACGACCUACACUUGUAGGCUUUCAACUUCACUAACUUGUAAACACCUAUUACAAGCCACUUUGUAAUAACUUUAUUACAAAGAAUUCAGUCAACUAACUUGUGAUACUCUUACCACAAGCCACUUUGUCACUCUCUAGUAACAAAGACUUUAACUUAUGACUAAGCCUAGUCACAACAUAAACUCAAAGAGUUUACAGAUUUUGUAAGAGGGUUUCCUAAAACACAGCUUCUAAGAAAGCAAGAUAGGAGUUACAAUGAAGAACAAAAUAACAAAAUUACAACUCAACUAUGGAUACACAUAGACUCAUUGUGAAACUGAUCCUUUAGUGGAGUUGUCUUCUUGUUCUUGACGCACUUGUGACUUCAAUACAGGAAGAACACUUUUCUGCUUGAGAGAAUAUCACUAAAUGCUCAAGUGAAAAAUGUUGUGCCUUGAACCAGGUUGUUAUACUACAAAAGACAUCACAAUGGUGAUGUCAAUUCUUGGUACAUGCUUUUUCCCAAUGAGAAGUAAUUGCUGCACUGUCUGCUACACUAUCGCAUGUACAGUUGCGGACAAUCACUUUCUGCAAUUGCGUUCCAGCUGUAUAGUUAACUUGUACUUCUGUCAAAGAACUCUAAGGGACCAGGCCCUUGUUGUGUUUCUCUUUGUAACAGUUGCAAACAGUCACUUUUUGUUGUUACGUUCCAGCUGUACAGUUGACUUGUACUUCUGUCAGAAAACCCUAAAGGACCAGGUCCCUGUUGUGUUCUUCCUUGUGGUUGUUCACUAAUUUGCUAGAGAUCAGACUGAACAUUGUUCAUUUGAAAUGUAUACCAGGUGGGUCAGGUUUUUUAUCUGGUUUUUGACAAUACGUUUGUUAGAUUAUCAAAACAUAAGAAGCAUAAGGCAAAGAUAUUGAAAACCCAUCAGAAAUCAUCCUUCAAUUUCUUCUUAUUCUUCUCCGAUCCCGACCCUUGGUUGAUUCCGAAAAAUCGAGCCGGUCAUCCUCAAUUCUUAUCUUCGACUCGUACCGAUUGUGAACAUCCACCCACGUUGUUGCUUGGAACUCAAGUAGACUUUUUUUCAAUUUUCGGGAAGCAUCGAAACUUCUCGAAUUCAACCCUUUAGUAAAUGCUUCAGCUGCCCAUUCGUCUGGUAUGGCCGGUAGCAACAAACUUUCUUUCUGGAAUCUGGUCACGAACUCCCAUAGCAAUUCGGGCUCUCCUUGUGCAAUCUUGAAUAUGUCGGCCUUUCGAGCUUGUAACUUCUUGGACCCGACAUUCCUUGAUAAAAGAAUUCGCAAGCAUCUCGAAAGAAUUUAUUGAGUGCUGGGGUAAAAGCGAAUACCAUGUCAGGGCCUUUUUCGUGAGGGUCUCCCCGAAUUUCUUCAGUAAGACCGACUCAAUCUCGUGCGGAGCUAAGUCUUUCCUCUUCACUGCCAUUGAAUAUGUGGUGAUGUGCUCCUGAGGAUCUAAAGUCCCAUCAUGUUUUGGCAUGUCUGGCAUCUUGAACCGCUUCAGGAUCAACUCUGGUGCCGCGCUUGGUUUGAACGGCAAUUGGGUAUGGUUCUUUGAAUUCGGUCCUUUCAAUACUGGCGGUGCACCCGAAAUUUGAAACAUUCGGGAGUUUAUUUCUCUCAUAAAUCGCAUGAGUUCGGUUUUAAAGAGAUCACUUUCAUUGUUACUACCGGAUCCGCUACCGUUCCCCCCGGCUCCGUUGAAGGCGACUUCGCCCCUCGGGGUGUUAUUGUCAACCCUCUGCGUUGUUUGAUUUGCGGGGGCACCGGGAGGAACUGGACCUCGUCCAUUCGCGUUGUUGGAAGCACCGGACAACGCCCGUCCUAACUCCGUCAUGACCUGAUCCUUUCGUGAAAGGUGGCAAAUAAUGGCCUUUUGUUGCUCCCUCAGGAUUCUUACUAUUUUAGCGACAUUCUCGUCUUUAGCAUUAUUAGGAGUUGCCUCUCGAACAUGUCGUGGAUAUUGCCUGCCAUGGACCGGCGUGGCCUUAUCCCCCUUAUUGCGGGAAUCACUGAUCGAGUCUUCAUGCUGAGGCUGAUUUUCUUGAGCCUCAAUAUUGUGUGCGAUGUUGACAUCAAUAUCUUCCGCUUUUAUGAUUUUUUGCUAAGAACAACGAAUCAAAUAGGGUAGUAAUAGAUGCAAGGAUCAACUCAAUUACACAACUGUCUAAGCCCAUGGUUGCGCCAAACUAUUUACUCGUAAAACGGUAUAGUUGAAUUUAUACGUGGUUUAUAGACAAGCGAAUUGAUUUGAUCCCAAAAAUUAAAUAAAUUAAAUAAGAAUGUAAGACAUAGCGUUGAAAUCGAAAUAAGAUAGCAAAGAUCUUGGUUCUGGGAGCGAAGCUUCCGGAGGCAGUAAUAACGAUAUUUAUAAGCAAGGAGAUCAAAUAUUAUUAAGCUUUGACUAGUAUAUGAUAUAAGAUUGUCAGAAAAUUUCCUUCCAACAAUAGUUGUUGGAAUCCUUAUUUAUAGUGGCACCUAGGGAACAAGUCCUAAGAUCAAGCCUCUCUUAAAUAAUAAUUAUGGGGGCCAUUGAAUAAUGUGUAACGGCUGUCUAUGAAUGCCAUAUUCUCUAUUACGGUCUAUGUAUUUAAUACUGUAGAAUAUUCUUCAUUGAAUGUUAUCGAGUGACAGGUAUUCAUUUGUCUUCAUGAGUAACAUUCCCUUCAGAGGUUUCUUGGUGCCAGCCAAGACUGAUCAGUCUUAACUUCUACAUGUCUCGCUUUCUAUCUGUUUCUCAUUUCGUAUAUCAUUUUAUUAUACGAUCAUUUAAUAUGAACCGAUUUUACCCAAUACAACUAGUACUAGUACAUGUAUUGGAAUCUUUUUUAAGAUCAAUUAGACGAUACGGAUUUAUGUGGAUUUCUUGCUCUUGAAUCUUGGAAGAAGCAUGUGAAUAUCUGAUGAAGUGAUGAUCAUCUAAUCUCUUUAUCCACUCCCGCCUAGAUUAGAAGGCUUUUGCUUUGAUGACGGCGACAUUUAUCAACCAAUAUAUACCCUAGGAAGCUGGAUAAAGUUGGUAAACAAAAGAGUAAUUAAGCUGAUCAACAGAGGGUAAUAAAUGCUGCAACAUAACUACUGGUAGCUAGCUAAUUACUACGUAACAACAUCAAUAGACGACGCCAAAAUUCACGAGUCACGAUUAGGGUUGUUCAUGGUUCGGUUUGGAUCGGUUUUUUUCCUAAAAAGAAACCAAAUCAAAUAAGUCAUUUUUUCAAAUAUUAGAAUUAAACCAAAUCAUUUAAGUCGGUUUUUCUCGAUUCGGUUUAUGUCGGUUUUUCGGUUAUUUGUCGGUUUUUUCUUAAAUAUAAGACAUACACUACCAAACACAUAUUCCGGCGACCACAUUUUCAAUAUAACACUAUCAAAUCAAUUGCCCUUUGAGAAAUCUAUUAUUUACCAAAAUAUAUUGAUGAUAAUUGAAACAUAGUGAUGAAUAAUUUAAGGACUCAAUUAAAAAUAUGUUAUUUUUAACACGAAAUGGAUUCUUACAUUAAACAAAAGAAAACUACCAAUCAAACUAGAAUGUAAAUGUAAAGAAAUAUAUUAAAAGUGCAAACUAUUAACAUUUACCAUAAAUUUUUUGAAACUUUGUAUAACAAUAUACAUAUAUAUAGGUGUAGUAAUAAAUUUGAAAUAGCUACUCCUAUAGUCAGUUUUGUUCGAUUUUUUUCUGAUUAAAACCAAAAUCAAACCAAAUUUGAUCGGUUUUUAAAAUUCAAAACUAAAACCAAACCAAACCAAAAAUUAUCGAUUUUUUUGAUCGCUUUAAUUUGAUUUUCGGUUUGGUUCGAUUUUUCGGGUUUUUAUGAACACCCCUAGUCACGACAAUCAUAUAUCGGUAUGCCCAAUGUCAUUUCAAGCACCCUGACGGUACGUAGAUGAAGAAUUACAAGAAUAAAAGGUUAAUUUUAGCUAUGCUCAUUCAAUUUUUUUUUUAAUUGUACUAAAUAGAUAAAGGGACCGUUUUAAUGGAAAAAUAAUUAAAUUAUAUCUUAAAUAUAUUAUAAAAAUAAAAUAAUGAUCAAAAUGUUAAAUUCGGUCCCCGGAAAACAAUAGGCUUUUACACGUAUAAAAUUUCCAUGCAAGUACUGUUUUCUAGCAACUCAUUACCUUUACUAAAUAUAUCCAUAUGUCACCUCACAAAAAAAAAAAAAAAUCAUUUUCCAACCCGAUUUAACACUCGAAUACUCGAUAAUCCUUUAUUAUGUGGCAUAUUAUUAGUUUUUAAUUUUUUUAGGUGAGUCAAAUAGUAGUUUUUAUUUCAAGAUUGAAUCUAGUAUUUCUGACAUUUUAUUUUUGUGAUAUAAAUUCAUAGAAACAUAUUUUCCAUUACAAAAAAUAAUUUUAUAACUUUGACGGAAUAACUUGAAAGCUGAAUCAACAUCUGUGAAAUUAACCAAAGAAUAAAAGCACAGAAUAAUGCAUGAAUGAUCACUGGGACAAGCUAGAGUCUAUAGGGGGUAAUGUGGCACGGAUAUAGCCACGGGACACAUUUUAAAUCUGUUGCCAUAUAUUAAUAGCUAUGAAACAGUAGAGCCUAGAGGCUAGAAAGAGAAUGAUUCCAAUUUGCUUUCUUGAUUGGGCAAAUAAGAAAUAAAGAAGGUCAAUUUUGGUGUGAAAAGAAAAAAAAGAAGGUGCACAAAAAGAACAACUCAUGUAGAAGAAUGAAGCAAAUAUUUUAUAUAUAUUGUAAAGCCCCGGGAAAUUUUGCUAAGUAAUAUAAGAUUUUGUGGUGUCAAGAUAGGCUAAUUAUUUUAUCUUGUGUGCAAGUGAGGGUUCAUGAUAUAAUGGAUAUCAAUUAGAUAAGUUAAUAAGUGUAUAAGUCAUAUUAUAAGUAGUUUAGGGUCUAAGGAGAGGCCUAAGUCUAAGCCAAGUUGGAAAAAUUUCAUAAUAGGCUAAAGUUGUAAGUGAAUGCGCACAAGACCUCACUUUGGACAAGCAUAUCUCUAGUUAUAUAAAGUGUUGAGUGAUGCACAACCUAUCAAAUUAAAACCCUUUGAGUCUAGUUCCCAACUCAACAAACCGUUCGUCAUUUGGAGGUGUAUACAGAAAGUUAUGACCAUUUUACUGGACAUGCGUUACCAGCGUGCCCAGGAGCGCAGCCGCGGCAAACCGCGGCAAACCAAGGUUUUUCUGCCUGUAAACUGCGGCAGACCGCGGCGGAACGCGGUGGAACAUGUAAAAUGUCUAAAAUACCCCUGGCCAGUGUAAAACCGAAGGGGUAUUACAUUUUCUUCAUUUUUUGAUCAUUCAAGCUCGAAUUUUGGGGUUUUCUUCACCCUCUCAAGACCUCCAACCUCCCAUCUUCAAGGUAAGCAAUCUUCAUUAACUUGGUGUAAAAUUCCAUUAUUCUUACACUAGUAUUGAUGAAAUCUACGCAUAAAACACAUAGAUCUUCAAGAAACUUCUUCAAGAACUCCAAGGAGGGUUUUGCAAGAUUUCUUCCAAAAGGUAAUCCUACCCCCCUUAGACUUACAUGUAUGAAUUUAUUAUGGGUAUAUGAGUGUGGAUUAAGUAUUGGGACUCUUGGUGUGGUGAUUAGAAGCCACAAGUUCCUAAUAUAAAUACAUAGUCAUUGUAGAGAUUGGAAGGUGAUUAUUUGAUGGAAUUUUGUUGGUUGGGUGAAGAUGGGUUGUCACACAUAUGUUGUUGGAAGUUAUAAAUUGGUUAGGAAUAAUGGUGGAGUGAAUUAUUGGUUAAUGGUGAUAGUUGGGUGAACCAAUACUAUAGUUUUGGGGUGUAAAGUUCUAUAACUACAAUGUGUUUGAUGAUAUGCCUAAAAGGCAUAAGUUACGAAAUUUAUUACUAAUAUUGGCCCUAUUGAAUGUUGUAUUGUAGAUUGAGGUUGCUUAAGUGUAUUGGAUCAUUGUAGUAUCACUAAGGGCGAAUUUGAGGUAUGUAUGACUAACUUUAGCCUUUAUAAAGUCACCUUGUUUGGUGUACGAGUAAUUGGUAUGUGUUAUUUAUGUGGACCAUUUGUAAAUUCUUGUGAUUAAUAUGUCUUGAACGUAUGUAUGGCUAGCUUUAACCUUUGUAAAGUCACCUUGUUUGAUGUACGAGUAAUUGGUAUGUGUUAUUUAUGUGGACCAUUUGUGAAUUCUUGUGAUUAAUAUGCCUUGAACGUUGUUGGCUAACUUUAACCUUUGUAAAGUCACCUUGUUUGGUGUACGAGUAAUUGGUAUGUGUUAUUUAUGUGGACCAUUUGUGAAUUCUUGUGAUUAAUAUGCCUUGAAUAUUGUUGGCUAAGUUUCCUGAUAUAAUGGUGUAAGUAAAUGGCAACAAGCCAAGUGUGUGUGUGUGUGAAGGUGCUUAUAUGGUAAGAGCUGUGUAACAAAUGAUGGAAAGAAAUCGUAAUUGAUGCAAUUGAAACAACUGUGGUAAUAUCAUACGUGACUUGUCGCGGCAAUUAUCGUUGUGACUUAAAUUGUAUACGGACUGUUGCAUAUAAUGGAAAUGGUAUUGAUGUCUAUGAAACCUCUUUGUGAAUUGUUGUGUUGUCGUGUGAAAUGUAAUUGUCCGGUGGGAUUGGGUUGCGCGCUGCAACACGAAGUUAUAAGGUGUGGGUUGUGGUGAUAAGGGUGGCCGAGGUAAUAAGGGUGAAAAAGUUAUCGAAAUCACUAUUGAAAUGAAAAUAUGUGAAAGUUGUGAAACCAUUGAUGUGAUAAAAUAAUGUUGAAAGGGGAAAAUGAGAGAUUGUGGAACUUGUUUGGCUUUGGUUGUUCCUUUCAUGUGCAUUGUGUUGUUGAUUCUAUUACUGUUUGUUACCUGUGUAUUUCUUGAUUUUACUUGGGUAAAGUUUGUUCAUACAUGCCAGUACAAUUGAAAUGUACUGACGUCCCUUUUGUCGGGGGCGCUACAUUCGUGUUAUGAUUGUAGGUGGUUCUAUAGCAGGUACUCCAGUCCACCGACAGUAGCACUCCUUCACUUCC
rnacentral:lncRNA from 1 species